AUGAUCCACGGGCAGGGUUCACAAUUUUGUGUCUCUUUGCGUUCUCAUGAGAAUAUAAUUCUCUUCGUCUUUCUCAAUCUCGCAACCACGGCGGCCGAAUCUUCUCUCAGUCGCUCUCAAUCUCCUCCGUGGUUCCGUCUUCCUCAGUUGCGAUUCAGCUCCGCACUCCAUCUUCGUUUCGUGAGACCCUCUCCUCCAUCCUUGAUUUCGAUCGGACCUUACCGACUGGAGGAAGUCCGAUGCCAUCUUGACGGCGUCAACAAACAUAAAUCCAUAGCUGGGAAUCGGACGAGAUAA